ACAUGGGUUUGGACUGAUAGCAACCCCGUCUCCCUGUGUCUCUCAUGGUGCCCAUGCCAGAGCAGACUGUGGCCUCGAACCAUUGCCUGGCCUCUGCCUGUAGGCUACAGGCACUGAAGCAGAUUGCACAGUG